GUUUUCACCUCUUCGCGUGGGUCGACAAAGACCCUCGGUAACUUUGUGAAGGCAACAUUUGAUUGUCUGAUGAAGACCUACGGGUUCUUGACGCCUGAUCUGUGGAAGGAGACUCGGUUUGUGAAAUCCCCGUUCCAGGAGUACACUGACUUCCUCUCAAAGCCCACCACCAAGGCUAUUCUAAUCGAAGAGGUCGAGAGAGCUGAU
rnacentral:misc_RNA from 1 species